ACUGUUUCAAUCUCCUUGGAGGGGUGGCAGGGAACUUCCCCAAAAGUGACUGACAGACGGGCUGCUUGGAGCUCUGAGGGCCUCAAGGAGAGCGGAGGAGGGGCUGCCUUCAGCUGGGAAGGUGAGAGAAGAGCCUGAAGCAGAGGGGGGUCUCCACUACAGACUUUCCAGCUGCUGCUUGGGAACAACUGAUAAGCCAGGAAGGCAGCUGGAGCAUAGGCUGAGAAGCAAAGAGCAGGCUGUGCAAAGCCGAGACCUCCAACCUUCCUCUCGGUUUCUCACAUCUUAGCCCCGUGACUGUCUGAGUCCUCCGCCUCAAAAGAACACACAGAAGAAACAAGGUAAGAUGUGUCUUUCUUCCUAAUGCUGAGGAAGAACCAAGUGUAUAAUUCCUGAUAAUUGCAUUGUACUCUUUUUCCCGAGGGAUCUUUGAGAAGCGGGGAGGGGGCACUCUCUGCUACCAUGUAUUUGUGCAC
rnacentral:lncRNA from 1 species